UGUAGGGUAUUUAUUUGUACUGCUAAUAAUAGUGUAUUAUUGAUAUUUCUCACAGUUGUUAUUGUAAUAUUGCUAAGUAAUUCAGUCAAGUUAUUGUGAUUUAAUGUUCAAGUUACUGCUUAACGACCCUUGAGGACACAACGUCAAAAAACCGUACUUCUUUGUAUUGUGCAUCUGUUCGUACUGAAGUAUUGUUGUUCGUACUGUGUAUCUGUUCAUAUUGCAGUACUGCAUCUGUUCGUAUUGUUUUACACUGUUUGCAACACAUCACAAGAAAAUAAAACAUCUUAUGCUGA